CAAAUACCUAACAUUUAGGCCACAUUUUGGGUUCUAGUUAUUCAAUUGCCUUGGUCCUAGCUUUCUAAUUUCCCUCAACGGGGCAGUGGGCCAAAAUACCAAAUGCAUAAUGUGAUCCCGUAUGCCUCAGAGAAAGAAAAGUGACGCUUGAUGCAGUCUCCCAAGCAUUCCACUAAUCCCUUAACUGUAGAUUAAACGUGAUUAAUUUCUAUAGAACAAGACAUAUUGGUGGUUG